rnacentral:rRNA from 1 species
UGGUAAUACCGGAUGCUCCGCUCCAUCGCAUGGUGGGGUGGGAAAUGCUUUUGCGGCAUGGGAUGGGGUCGCGUCCUAUCAGCUUGUUGGCGGGGUGAUGGCCCACCAAGGCGUUGACGGGUAGCCGGCCUGAGAGGGUGACCGGCCACAUUGGGACUGAGAUACGGCCCAGACUCCUACGGGAGGCAGCAGUGGGGAAUAUUGCACAAUGGGCGCAAGCCUGAUGCAGCGACGCCGCGUGCGGGAUGGAGGCCUUCGGGUUGUAAACCGCUUUUGUUCAAGGGCAAGGCACGGUUUCGGCCGUGUUGAGUGGAUUGUUCGAAUAAGCACCGGCUAACUACGUGCCAGCAGCCGCGGUAAUACGUAGGGUGCGAGCGUUAUCCGGAUUUAUUGGGCGUAAAGGGCUCGUAGGCGGUUCGUCGCGUCCGGUGUGAAAGUCCAUCGCCUAACGGUGGAUCUGCGCCGGGUACGGGCGGGCUGGAGUGCGGUAGGGGAGACUGGAAUUCCCGGUGUAACGGUGGAAUGUGUAGAUAUCGGAAAAAAACACC